rnacentral:lncRNA from 1 species
UACCGCUUAUGAGCAUUGAGUGUGGUCAAGCUGUGUAGACAUUUAGGAGCUUGUCAUGUGGUUAAAUCAAGAUUCACUUGCACGUUCACUCACACAUGCUGCUUCUACUCCGGAAGUACGCAUCCACAUAUAUCCACCCAUUUCCAUCUCCAGAACCAUCCAAAAAUAUUCUACUCCUAAUCCGGGAGAGAAUUUCUAUUUUUCCCCUAUGAAAUAAAUGCUCAAGUUAUCUUGGUUACUACCACUUGCUAUAUUAUUUUAGGAGAUGAGUCCUCUAAAAAAAGUGAAUACGAGGAAAUAAAAAGGGGCAAGUGCCCGGAACCUCGAAGAAAAGAAAAAGUGAGACGAGAGGUAAAAAUGGACAAGUGUCCGAUAGUAGAAUUAGGGGUAUAAGAUACGCACC